rnacentral:rRNA from 1 species
CUUGUUUCUUUUGUAGUUUUCCAGAGUAAUACUCGUAAGUCGAGCGGACAGAUGGGAGCUUGCUCCCUGAUGUUAGCGGCGGACGGGUGAGUAACACGUGGGUAACCUGCCUGUAAGACUGGGAUAACUCCGGGAAACCGGGGCUAAUACCGGAUGCUUGUUUGAACCGCAUGGUUCAAACAUAAAAGGUGGCUUCGGCUACCACUUACAGAUGGACCCGCGGCGCAUUAGCUAGUUGGUGAGGUAAUGGCUCACCAAGGCAACGAUGCGUAGCCGACCUGAGAGGGUGAUCGGCCACACUGGGACUGAGACACGGCCCAGACUCCUACGGGAGGCAGCAGUAGGGAAUCUUCCGCAAUGGACGAAAGUCUGACGGAGCAACGCCGCGUGAGUGAUGAAGGUUUUCGGAUCGUAAAGCUCUGUUGUUAGGGAAGAACAAGUACCGUUCGAAUAGGGCGGUACCUUGACGGUACCUAACCAGAAAGCCACGGCUAACUACGUGCCAGCAGCCGCGGUAAUACGUAGGUGGCAAGCGUUGUCCGGAAUUAUUGGGCGUAAAGGGCUCGCAGGCGGUUUCUUAAGUCUGAUGUGAAAGCCCCCGGCUCAACCGGGGAGGGUCAUUGGAAACUGGGGAACUUGAGUGCAGAAGAGGAGAGUGGAAUUCCACGUGUAGCGGUGAAAUGCGUAGAGAUGUGGAGGAACACCAGUGGCGAAGGCGACUCUCUGGUCUGUAACUGACGCUGAGGAGCGAAAGCGUGGGGAGCGAACAGGAUUAGAUACCCUGGUAGUCCACGCCGUAAACGAUGAGUGCUAAGUGUUAGGGGGUUUCCGCCCCUUAGUGCUGCAGCUAACGCAUUAAGCACUCCGCCUGGGGAGUACGGUCGCAAGACUGAAACUCAAAGGAAUUGACGGGGGCCCGCACAAGCGGUGGAGCAUGUGGUUUAAUUCGAAGCAACGCGAAGAACCUUACCAGGUCUUGACAUCCUCUGACAAUCCUAGAGAUAGGACGUCCCCUUCGGGGGCAGAGUGACAGGUGGUGCAUGGUUGUCGUCAGCUCGUGUCGUGAGAUGUUGGGUUAAGUCCCGCAACGAGCGCAACCCUUGAUCUUAGUUGCCAGCAUUCAGUUGGGCACUCUAAGGUGACUGCCGGUGACAAACCGGAGGAAGGUGGGGAUGACGUCAAAUCAUCAUGCCCCUUAUGACCUGGGCUACACACGUGCUACAAUGGACAGAACAAAGGGCAGCGAAACCGCGAGGUUAAGCCAAUCCCACAAAUCUGUUCUCAGUUCGGAUCGCAGUCUGCAACUCGACUGCGUGAAGCUGGAAUCGCUAGUAAUCGCGGAUCAGCAUGCCGCGGUGAAUAGGUUCCCGGGCCUUGUACACACCGCCCGUCACACCCCGGGAUUUUGUAACACCCGAAGUCGGUGAGGUAACCUUUAGGAGCCAGCCGCCGAAGGUGGACUUUCAUGGCCUCGAUCCCCCCC